rnacentral:rRNA from 1 species
GAUGAACGCUGGCGGCGUGCCUAAUACAUGCAAGUCGAGCGAACGGGCGAGAAGCUUGCGUCUCUGUUGAUAGCGGCGGGGGGGUGAGUAACACGUGGAAAAUCUACCUGUAAGACGGGGAAAACUUCGGAAAACCGGCGCUAAUCCCGGAUAAUCUCUUGAACCAUAGUGUUGGAAGGUGAAAGACGGCGUUGCUGGCAGUACUAGAUGGAUGCGAGGUUAAUUAGCUGGUUGGUGAGGUAAAGGCUUACCACGGCAACGAGGGGUAGCCGACCUGAGAGGGUGAACGGCGACAAUAGGACUAAGGGACGGACCAGAAGGCUAUGGGAGGCAGCAGGCGAGAAUAUUACGGAAUAAGGGGGAGCGUGAUACAACAACGCCGCGUGCGUAAUAACGGCUUACGGGUUAUAAACCGCUGUGGACUGUAAUGAGGAGAGAGUGACGGUAACUAGUCAGAAAGCCCCGGCUAACUACGUG